rnacentral:rRNA from 1 species
AGAGUUUGAUCAUGGCUCAGAUUGAACGCUGGCGGCAUGCCUAACACAUGCAAGUCGAACGGAAACGAUGCUAGCUUGCUAGCAGGCGUCGAGUGGCGGACGGGUGAGUAAUGUAUAGGAACUUGCCUAGUAGUGGGGGACAACGUGUGGAAACGCACGCUAAUACCGCAUAAUCUCUACGGAGGAAAGCAGGGGAUCUUCGGACCUUGUGCUACUAGAUGGGCCUAUAUCGGAUUAGCUAGUUGGUAAGGUAAUGGCUUACCAAGGCGACGAUCCGUAGCUGGUUUGAGAGAAUGAUCAGCCACACUGGGACUGAGACACGGCCCAGACUCCUACGGGAGGCAGCAGUGGGGAAUAUUGCACAAUGGAGGAAACUCUGAUGCAGCAAUGCCGCGUGUGUGAAGAAGGCCUUAGGGUUGUAAAGCACUUUCAGACGUGAGGAAAAGUUAGCUAUUAAUACUAGUUAGCCCUGACGUUAACGUCAGAGGAAGGACCGGCUAACUCCGUGCCAGCAGCCGCGGUAAUACGGAGGGUCCAAGCGUUAAUCGGAAUUACUGGGCGUAAAGCGCGCGUAGGCGGAUAUUUAAGUCAGAUGUGAAAUCCCUGGGCUCAA